rnacentral:tRNA from 1 species
GUGGAUGUAGCUCAGUGGUAGAGCACUUGCUUAGCAUGUAUGAGGCACUGGGUUGAAUCCUCAGCACUGCA